AGGUGCCCGCCACCACACCCGGCUAAUUUUAAGUGAAUAAAAUUAAACACAGAGUUAUGCAUGCCACUAAAGAAUUACUAGGCUGGACACAGUGGCUCUUGCGUGUAAUUCCUGUGCUUUAGGAGGCCAAGGCAGGAGGAUCACUUCAGGCCAGUAGUUUGAGAGCAGCCCAGGCAACGUAGCAAGACCUCAUUUUUUUGGAGGCAGUCUCGCGCUAUCCCCCAAGCUAGAGUGCAGUGACACCAUCUUGGCUCACUGCAACCUCCACCUCCCGGGUUCAAGUGAUUCUUCUGCCUCAGCCUCCUGAGUAGCUGGGAUUACAGGCAACUGCCACCAUACCCCACUAAUUUUUGUAUUUUUGGUAGAGAUGGGGUUUCGCCAUGUUGGCCAGGCUGGUGUUGAACUCCUGACCUCAGGUGAUCCGUCCGCCUCAGCCUCCCAGUGCUGGGAUUACAAGCGUGAGCCACGGUGCCUGGCUGCAAGACCUCAUCUCUACAAAAAAUUAAAAAAUUAGCCGGGCUUGGUGGCACACGCCCGUAGUCCCAGCUACUAUGGAGGCUGAAAGUGGGAGGAUCCCUUGAGCCCAGGAGUUGAAGGCUACAGGGAGCUAUGGUUGAGCCACUGCACUCCAGCCUGGGUGCCCAUAGCAAGACUCUGUCCAAAAAAAAAAGGCAAAAACUUUAAGCUGAACCUAAUAAUUUAGCCUCCAGACCAGGAAAUACAGAGAUAUAGAAAAACAAGUUAAACGGUACCGUAAGAAAACCAGUAAAUAGAGGACAUUCAAAAAAACUGUUGUAGCCUCCUAACAGUUAAGUUAGGAGAGUAAGACAAACUAAAGAAACCGAUUAACCUGGCCGGGCACAGUGGCUCACGCCUGUAAUCCCAGCACUUUGGGGGGCUGAGGUGGGCGGAUCACUUGAGGUCAGGAGUUAGAGACCAACCUGGCCAACAGUGUGAAACCCUGUCUCUACUAAAAAAAAUUAGCUGGGCUUGGUGGCAGGCACCUGUAAUCUCAGCUACUCAGGAGGCUGAGGCACGAGAAUUGCUUGAACCCAGGAGGCGGACGUUGCAGUGGGCCAAGAUCAUGCCACUGAGCUCCAGAGCAAGACUCCUUCUCAAAGUAAGAAAAAGAAACAAAUUAACCUAAUGCAACUCAUAAAUGCUGACUGGAUCCUGGUUUGGAAAACGUAGCUACAUAACACUUCUUAGACACAAUUAUGCUAUUUGAAUAUAGUAUUAGAUAUCAGAUACUAGGGAAUGUUUAGAUACAUUAAGUAUGAUAAUGGUACUGUGGUAAUGAGAACAUCUUAUAAGAUGCAUGAUAAAGUGAUGUCACGUCUAUAACUUACUUUCAAACUAUUGUUAACUCUAGAUCGAGAACACAUGGGGGGUUCAUUGUACUGUUUUUUUUUUUUUUUGAGACGGAGUCUGUCUGUUCCCCAGAAUGGAGCGCAAUGGCGCCAAUCUUGGCUCACUGCAACCUCUGCCUCCUGGUUCGAGGUAUUCUCCUGCCUCAGCCUCCUGAGUAGCUGAGAAUCAAGGCGUGUGACACCACACCUGGCUAAUUUUUGCAUUUUCAGUAGAGACAAGGGUUUCCCCAUGUCAGCCAGGCUGGUCUCGAACUCCUGACCUCAUGAUCCACCCGUCUUGGCUUCCCAAAGUGCUGGGAUCACAGGAAUAAGCCACCACGCCCAGUGUGACUCCUUUUAGUUAGCCGGAUUUCUCUGUAAAAUACACAUUUUCAUGUUGCAUUUGCUUUCCAGUCAUCAAGGUCAAUGCAAAUAAAUUUUAUCUUAUAAAGGAACACUUUGUAGUCUCCUGUGAAUAGGUCCUUAAUUAUGUUGUUUCAAAAGGUCUCACAAAGCAACUAAAGUACUACAAAUUCAGCACAAGGAAUGGGUGCAUGAAGCAAAGGAGUUCUAAAUUUUAACCAACCCACUUUACUUUUUCCCUUCCCAACACACAAAGCUGUGAUUAACGCAGGAGAAAGUAUUAUUAAUGAGAACUAAGCUGACCUGAAGAGCCAUAACAACAUAUCCCAUUUGCUAUGUUUUAGGUUUUCCUACAUAUGGUAGAAAAUAAAAUUGUCAAGAUAUUUAUUGUGUUAACAUGUGAGACAUACAAUUUGCUCAGUAAAAUGAAUCACUAUACCAUGAACUGACAGAACCCUGCAUGAAGGAUGAAAAACUCAUACCCAAAGUCAAGAAUCACACAGCAGCAUGGAGGGGGAAAAUGAACUAUAUGAUGCUAACCGCAUUUAAUUUCGAAGUGGGGGGAAACAGGGCAUGGGGAGUGAAUAAUGGUUGAAGUUCCAGGCUCUAACUGUACAUCCUUAAGUAAAUUAAGUUUAACUCAUCUAUUAAAAAGUGAGUUAAAACAGAUGAGUUUUAAGGUCCAUCUCAACUCUAAAUGAGACACUAGCAAAAACAAGGAAUCCACCACUUCAGAUCCUUAUGAAACCCAGGAAAAGGUGGGGCACAGUGGCUCACCUGAGGGCAACAGUUGGAGACCAGCCUGACCAACACAGUGAAACCCCAUCUCUACUAAAAAUAACAAAAAUUAGCUGGGUGUGGUGGCGGACACCUGUAAUCCCAGCUAUUUGGGAGGCUGAGGCAGGAGAAUUACUUGAACGGGGUGUGGGGGUGGGGGGUGGAGGUUGCAGUGAGCUGAGAUUGCACCAUUGCACUCUAGCCUGGGCAACAGAGCGAGACUGUCUCAAAAAAAAAAAAAAAAAAAAAAAAGGCCCAGGAAAAACACAAAAAUAGCAAUGGUAUUAAAACUGUUCAGAAUCGGCCAGACACGGUGGCUCGCACCUGUAACACUAGCACUUUGGGGGGCGGGGCAGGUGGAUCACCUGAGGUCAGGAGUUGGAGACCAGCCCGACCAACAUGAUGAAACCCAGUCUCUACUAAAAAUACAAAAAAUAGGCCGGGCGCGGUGGCUCACGCCUGUGAUCCCAGCACUUUGGGAGGCCAAGGCGGGCGGAUCACGAGGUCAGGAGAUUGAGACCAUCCUGGCUAACACCGUGAAACCCCGUCUUUACUAAAAAUACAAAAAAAAAAAAUUAGCUGGGCGCGGUGGCGGGUACCUGUAGCCCCAGCUACUCAGGAGGCUGAGGCAGGAGAAUGGCACGAACCCAGGAGGCGGAGCUUGCAGUGAGCCGAGAUCGCACCACUACACUCCAGCCUGGGCAACAGAGCGACACUCUGUCUCAAAAAAAAAUAAAAAAAUAAAAUAAAAAUAAAAAUACAAAAAAUUAGCGGGGGGUGGUGGCGGGUGCCUGUAAUCCCAGCUACUCAGGAGGCUGAGGCAGGAGAAUUGCUUGAACCCGGGAGGUGGAGGUUGCAGUGAGCCAAGCCUGCACUCCAGCCUGGGCGACAAGAGUGAGACUCCGUCUCCAAAACAAAACAAAACCACCACCACCAAAAAACCUGUUCAGACUGAACACAGAACUCAAGGGCAUUAUUAUAACAGAUUACAAAGUGAAUUUUCUAUAGCUUUGCAAAAUCCAAACUGUCAGCUUUCAGUCCUCCACAUUCCCCUCUUUAAUAUGGUAUUUUGCACUAUAUACAUUAAUGAAAAUUUGAAACAAAC
rnacentral:lncRNA from 1 species